rnacentral:rRNA from 1 species
CAGGCGCGAAACCUUUACACUGCACGCACGUGCGAUAAGGGGACUCCGAGUGCGAGGGCAUAUCGUCCUCGCUUUCGUGUACCGUAGGGUGGUACACCAACAAGGGCUGGGCAAGACCGGUGCCAGCCGCCGCGGUAAUACCGGCAGCCCGAGUGAUGGCCGAUCUUAUUGGGCCUAAAGCGUCCGUAGCUGGCUGCGCAAGUCCGUCGGGAAAUCCACUCGCCCAACGAGUGGGCGUCCGACGGAAACUGCACAGCUUGGGACCGGAAGGCUCGAAGGGUACGUUCGGGGUAGGAGUGAAAUCCUAUAAUCCCGCACGGACCACCGAUGGCGAAAGCACUUCGAGAAAACGGAUCCGACAGUGAGGGACGAAAGCCAGGGUCUCCAACCGGAUUAGAUACCCGGGUAGUCCUGGCCGUAAACAAUGUUCGCUAGGUAUGACACAGACUACGCGUCUCUGUUGUGCCGUAGGGAAGCCGAGAAG